AGGGAUUAGUUGGAUAGACCAGGAUGAGUAGUACUGUUCAUAUAGAUCAUGCCAGAUUUAAGCAUGUGCAGACUUAAACAAUGAGAUUAUUACUUUGGAUGAUACUGUGUGACAUAUGCCAUUAUUCUAGUACAAUUGCCCAUAAUCAUCUUACAUAGUAGAGCUUUGAGUAGUCGGGACCUUCAAUAACAGAGUAUAUAUAGAGAUGUCAAGGGCAGAGCUUUGGAUGGCACUGCGUUCAUUGUUCAAAAGAUCAUGUUAAUUGGUAGCUAGCGAGGGUAGGUGAAACACAACAGAAAACGAUCUUUGCAUGUGUCAGUCGUAGACACAUUAUUAGAGCUUACAAUCAUGGCCUAUAUAUACUGCUUGUUCUUGCACCAUUCCACGCUACAGGCCCUUUUUUAUUUAUUUUCAGUCCAUAGAGGUUGUUGGUUGUUGCCAACAAGUUACUUCUUUCAACUCAGCUACUCAGCUUAUGCUACUAUUAGCUAGUGAUGGGGGUUGGGAGGUACCGGGAUUUUAACAUGUAGCUUGUGGUGCCGUGGCUGUGCUGUUGUUCUGUGGCCUACUGCAUUUUAUUAUGUGACUUCCCCAGACAACAGCUGGAUGAGAAAACAUGCUGGCGACAUGAAUUCUUGCGGAGCAUUGAUCCCCCAAGUAGUGGCAGCUAUCUAUGUGACUGCUGGGCUCAAAUGUUCCAUGACAGCCACGGAACUGUUAAGGCUGAUUGCGCAGUAAUGCUCAUGAUGGCGAUGUGAAAUGUCAGUACACACAGAUAGUAUGGAAAUUAGAAGAACUGGGCCAACAAACCUUGGAUCAUCGUGUGGAACUGUGUAAGCAUGUAACUAGUUGUAUGGUGGUUAACUGCAAGAAUAAUGUAUUGCGAUUCUGGUAGUCAUCAAUCAGGU
rnacentral:lncRNA from 1 species